rnacentral:rRNA from 1 species
UACGUAGGUCCCGAGCGUUGUCCGGAUUUAUUGGGCGUAAAGCGGGCGCAGGUGGUUUAUUAAGUCUGGUGUAAAAGGCAGUGGCUCAACCAUUGUAUGCAUUGGAAACUAGUAGACUUGAGUGCAGGAGAGGAGAGUGGAAUUCCAUGUGUAGCGGUGAAAUGCGUAGAUAUAUGGAGGAACACCGGUGGCGGAAGCGGCUCUCUGGCCUGUAACUGACACUGAGGCUCGAAAGCGUGGGGAGCAAACAGG